rnacentral:rRNA from 1 species
UAGGGAAUCUUCGGCAAUGGGGGCAACCCUGACCGAGCAACGCCGCGUGAGUGAAGAAGGUUUUCGGAUCGUAAAGCUCUGUUGUAAGAGAAGAACGAGUGUGAGAGUGGAAAGUUCACACUGUGACGGUAGCUUACCAGAAAGGGACGGCUAACUACGUGCCAGCAGCCGCGGUAAUACGUAGGUCCCGAGCGUUAUCCGGAUUUAUUGGGCGUAAAGCGAGCGCAGGCGGUUAGAUAAGUCUGAAGUUAAAGGCUGUGGCUUAACCAUAGUACGCUUUGGAAACUGUUUAACUUGAGUGCAGAAGGGGAGAGUGGAAUUCCAUGUGUAGCGGUGAAAUGCGUAGAUAUAUGGAGGAACACCGGUGGCGAAAGCGGCUCUCUGGUCUGUAACUGACGCUGAGGCUCGAAAGCGUGGGGAGCAAACAGGAUUAGAUACCCUGGUAGUCCACGCCGUAAACGAUGAGUGCUAGGUGUUGGGUCCUUUCCGGGACUCAGUGCCGCAGCUAACGCAUUAAGCACUCCGCCUGGGGAGUACGACCGCAAGGUUG